GAUGAAGAACGCAGCGAAAUGCGAUAAGUAAUGCGAAUUGCAGAAUUUCCGUGAGUCAUCGAAUCUUUGAACGCACAUUGCGCCCGCCAGUAUUCUGGCGGGCAUGCCUGUCCGAGCGUCAUUUCAACCCUCGAACCCCUCCGGGGGUCCGGCGUUGGGGAUCGGGAACCCCUAAGACGGGAUCCCGGCCCCGAAAUACAGUGGCGGUCUCGCCGCAGCCUCUCAUGCGCAGUAGUUUGCACAACUCGCACCGGGAGCGCGGCGCGUCCACGUCCGUAAAACACCCAACUUCUGAAAUGUUGACCUCGGAUCAGGUAGGAAUACCCGCUGAACUUAAGCAUAUCAAUAAGCGGAGGA
rnacentral:misc_RNA from 1 species